UACAGAGGUCCCGAGCGUUGUUCGGAUUCACUGGGCGUAAAGGGUGCGUAGGUGGUCGGGUAAGUCUGAUGUGAAAUCUCACAGCUUAACUGUGAAACUGCAUUGGAUACUAUUCGGCUUGAGGUCUGGAGGGGGGACUGGAAUUCUCGGUGUAGCAGUGAAAUGCGUAGAUAUCGAGAGGAACACCAGUGGCGAAGGCGAGUCCCUGGACAGGUCCUGACGCUGAGGCACGAAAGCUAGGGGAGCAAACAGG
rnacentral:rRNA from 1 species